rnacentral:rRNA from 1 species
CAGCAGUGGGGAAUAUUGCGCAAUGGGGGCAACCCUGACGCAGCCAUGCCGCGUGAAUGAAGAAGGCCUUCGGGUUGUAAAGUUCUUUCGGUGAUGAGGAAGGGAGUUAUGUUAAUAGCAUAAUUCAUUGACGUUAGUCACAGAAGAAGCACCGGCUAACUCCGUGCCAGCAGCCGCGGUAAUACGGAGGGUGCGAGCGUUAAUCGGAAUAACUGGGCGUAAAGGGCACGCAGGCGGUGACUUAAGUGAGGUGUGAAAUCCCCGGGCUUAACCUGGGAAUUGCAUUUCAGACUGGGUCGCUAGAGUACUUUAGGGAGGGGUAGAAUUCCACGUGUAGCGGUGAAAUGCGUAGAGAUGUGGAGGAAUACCGAAGGCGAAGGCAGCCCCUUGGGAAUGUACUGACGCUCAUGUGCGAAAGCGUGGGGAGCAAACAGGAUUAGAUACCCUGGUAG